CACACGUACGCACAUAACGUUUCGCCAUACGCACGGAUCUGCUGUUUGCAGCAGAUCCUUCGCAUGCGACUGUCUUCUGCUAGCUCUCUCUUUUCCGUGUGUGUGUGUGUGUGUGUGUGUUGUGGUCCCAGUGGCACAACUCCUCUUCCCAACAUCCCCUUCCAGACUCUGCCCAGCGCUCACCAAAGACCGGCUGGUGAAGUCUACAGACGUACCCUGUUUAUCCUUCCGUCGAAACGCAAGAAGGACUCACGGCUCUUCAUACACUCACGUAGUGAGGACACCCAAUUACCGCACGGCACCGGAAUACUCAUAUGACCAUGCAGGGUCAAGGCAACAACGUCCCACAGAGACACCAGCAGAGCCAGCUGGACAGCGACGAUGAGAGCUACACCGGCAGCUCAGGCUCCUACUCUGAGAUGGUGUCGGAGGCAUCGAAACGCCAGCAGCAGUCGGCUGCGGUUGCGGAGCGUCGAUUGUCACCCAAGGUGGAGCAGGGGAACCGCACGCGCGGCUUACAGCAGACACCGUCCCCGGUGAAGCGCGGCGAUGCGCAAGGGGCGCAGCAAGAGGAGGGCGGCGAGACGGCGCAGAAGAAGGGCCGUGCCGCACGCGGCAAGGCCAAGGCGCGGACUAUGAUGAACGCUGCCUUGGAAGCUCCAGUGGCGCGAGUGCGGGCCGUGACCGAAGCCGUGUCCGGCAGGGACAGCCAGCGCGUGACCAUUUACGUCUUUUUCUGCAUCGCGUGGGUACAUCUCAUCUUCGUGAUUCUCUCCUCGGCACUGUCACAGAUUGACGUGGUCGGCGGGGGUUGCUACACCUUCUGGGGGUACAAGGCAAACUGCGACACCGUGAGCUACACACGCCGCACAGUCCUCCUCCAAAGGUGCAGUCGAGUGCGCAGCAUCCUUCAGGCUGGCUCUGCCUUCUCCAUCAUCUCCGUCCUGGCAUCGGCGGCGACGUUGGUGACAUCGUGGGUGCUGUGCUGCCGCCUCCGCGAAGCCGAUCGCCAUGUUCGCUCUCCGAGUGGUUACGCGAACAUGGACGAGGUGGCCCUUGCACAGGAGCCCGGCUGUAACGAGGGUAUUGAGAAUGGCAGUCAGGCAGACGCGCCCGUAUAUGACGCGGGCGAUCUCAAGAAGGUGAUGAUGAUUGUUGUGGCCUUCAGUCUCGCCUGUGAGCUCACCUGCUGGGCGCUCAUCGCCGCCAUCAUCACAGAGCGCUACUGCGACGAGAUCUAUCUCUGGUCCACGACGGCGACAUACGGUGUGGGUUUUGGACUGGGGCUCACGGCUUGGUUGGCAGAGCUCAUCGCUUACAUUGUCUUCGUUACGGUCGUCUGAGACCUUCACAAAAAAAAAACGAAAACACGAAGGAACGCUGCAGCAGUCCAGCCCCGCCCUUCUGCCAGGUCGAGGCACUGCUUAGACAAAGAGGAGCGCAGGGCAUGCGUUGUCACGACUUCAUCUUUUUUUUUUGAAGUGCCUCUCCGUGGAUUUCAUCCAGUGAUGCGAUUACGCUCACCUCGCUCGCGCUGCACGGGCUCCUCACCUGUCGAGUGUCUACGGCUGCCCCCCUACCCUUGCACCGCUCUGCGCAG
rnacentral:misc_RNA from 1 species